rnacentral:tRNA from 1 species
UCCCCGGUGGCUCAGUUGGUAAAGCGUCUGCCUACAAUGUGGGAGACCCAGGUUCGAUCCCUGGAUUGGGAA